AACGAACGCUGGCGGCAUGCCUAACACAUGCAAGUCGAACGAGACCUUCGGGUCUAGUGGCGCACGGGUGCGUAACGCGUGGGAAUCUGCCCUUGGGUCCGGAAUAACUCAGAGAAAUUUGAGCUAAUACCGGAUGAUGACGUAAGUCCAAAGAUUUAUCGCCCAAGGAUGAGCCCGCGUAAGAUUAGCUUGUUGGUAGGGUAAUGGCCUACCAAGGCGACGAUCUUUAGCUGGUCUGAGAGGAUGAUCAGCCACACUGGGACUGAGACACGGCCCAGACUCCUACGGGAGGCAGCAGUGGGGAAUAUUGGACAAUGGGCGAAAGCCUGAUCCAGCAAUGCCGCGUGAGUGAUGAAGGCCUUAGGGUUGUAAAGCUCUUUUACCAGGGAUGAUAAUGACAGUACCUGGAGAAUAAGCUCCGGCUAACUCUGUGCCAGCAGCCGCGGUAAAGUCUGUACU
rnacentral:rRNA from 1 species